CCUACGGGAGGCAGCAGUGAGGAAUAUUGGUCAAUGGACGAGAGUCUGAACAAGCCAAGUAGCGUGAAGGAUGACUGCCCUAUGGGUUGUAAACUUCUUUUAUAUGGGAAUAAAAUGUUCCACGUGUGGGAUUUUGUAUGUACCAUAUGAAUAAGGAUCGGCUAACUCCGUGCCAGCAGCCGCGGUAAUACGGAGGAUCCGAGCGUUAUCCGGAUUUAUUGGGUUUAAAGGGAGCGUAGGUGGAUUGUUAAGUCAGUUGUGAAAGUUUGCGGCUCAACCGUAAAAUUGCAGUUGAAACUGGCAGUCUUGAGUACAGUAGAGGUGGGCGGAAUUCGUGGUGUAGCGGUGAAAUGCUUAGAUAUCACGAAGAACUCCGAUUGCGAAGGCAGUUCACUGGACUGCAACUGACACUGAGGCUCGAAAGUGUGGGUAUCAAACAGGAUUAGAUACCCGAGUAGUC
rnacentral:rRNA from 1 species